UGAAGGCUGGAGGGUAUAUCAGCUAAAACAUUGUGUUAACAACAAACAAGAUGAGGACAAAUAUCCGUCAAAUGAAAAUAGAACUCAACUUGCAGUCGAACACUUUUGAAGUAAUUUAUUGGUUUAAGGAUAUAUCAAUAAUCCCACAACUCCUUAAUGGAAGUGUAGAGGCACUGUAGUAGCAUACACUUUAGCUUGGAUAUUUGUUGACCUGACCAAACACCUCGCUUUCAAGAUCUAACCACAGCUGAUUUCUGAAAGACAAGCAGACAGAAAGAGAAAGAAAAAAACUAACCUAUUGCUGCAGAAAGACAUUCACACAGCUUUUUCAUAUCUCCAGAUAAUCAGAUUAUCAUUACCUUAAUAACAAUAAUAAUAAUGAUAAUAGUCCUUUCUAUUAUAGGCACAAGGCCUGAAAUUUGGGGGAGGAGACUAGUCGAUUAUAUCGACCGACCCCCACCCCCUAGUUUUUCACUGGUACUUAAUUUAUCAACUCUAAAAAGAUGAAAGGCAAGAAUUUGAAAUCAGAACGCAGUGCCAUGCAAAAUACUGCUGAACAUUUCAUGCAAUGUGCUAACAAUUCUGCCAACUCACUGAAAUAAUAAUAAUAAUAAUAAUAAUAAUAAUAAUAAUAAUAAUAACAAUAAUAAUACUAAUAAACUGCUGAAAAAUGGUACAUGCACCACCCUGAGGUGGUAACUGAGGGAGAAAAUGUAACUAUUCUUUUGGACUUCCCAAAGUCGGGUAGUGUCUGUGUUAGGUUGGUGUUUUCUCUCUGUUGAUAUUAUUGUGAGAGACCAAAACAAUAAAGUCUGUUUAUUGAUUGACAUGAGCAUACCCUGUGACCAUAAUAUCUCGGCAAAAGAAUUUGAUAAGCUCUUCAGAAAAUAUAAAGAUUUGAUAAUCGAAAUCAAAAAGAUGUGGCAUCUCAAGGCGGUUACAAUACCAGUGACUGUAGGAGCACUUGGAAUGAUCAAAAAAGGAACCAAAAAUUAUUUUAAAAUAAUCCCUGGCUUACUAUCUAUGCAGGAAGUGCAAAAGAUUGUCUUAACUGGUACAUCACAUGUAUUGAGAAGAGUAUUGUCACUGUGAAUUUUCUUUUCUUUCCCCCCAAAUUUUAUUUUAUUUGUUAACUUUUUAUUUUUUUCCUUUUACUCUCUGUCUCACCCUUUUUCUCUAUCAGAUGACUUUGUAAAUGAACAAUCUGGUGUGUUUAUUUUAAUGGUGUACCAAUGUAUACAGUACGUUUCUCUGCCCUAGGUGUCAGGAAGACACUUGACAAGAAACGGAAACAGAAUUGAAAGAAGAUGCUAAUGAAAAUAUUAAUAAUAAUAAUAAUAAUAAUAAUAAUAAUGAUGAUGAUGAUGAUGAUGAUGAUGAUAAUAAUAAUAUAUGUAUAAUGAUAUAUCAUAUAUAAUAAUAUAUAAUAAUAAUAUAUAUUAUUAAUGCCAGGUGAAUUAGUUGAUAUUACUGUGAGGAAUGAUAAUAAUGAUAGAUAAUAAUAAUGACAGACAUAAUGAUAUAUAAUAUAUAUAAUGAUAUAUAAUAUAUAAAAAUGAUAUAUAGCCAACAACCACUGCCAAGUAACAACAAUCAGAAGGAAAUAAAAUAUGGCACCAUGUGAUCUCUAAGAAAAACAUGUGAACUUCCAGAACUGGUAUUAUGAAGGAUAAAUUUACUUUAAUUUACUUCAAUUCAAGAAAUAAAUAUUAGUGACAGAAGUAAUAUCAAUACCAAAAAAGUAUUCUUUACAUCCAGCUUAAUGUAGAUGUAUCAUUAGAACAUUGUAUACUGUGAUAUUUGACUAGAAAGGUUAUUUCAUAUAGAUGCAUGAUGCAUAAAAGCACAGAUACACAUUGUAACAGACAAAGAACCAUCUGGCAUUGACACUGGAACUGCCAAAUCACAUGAUUUCAGCCUACUGUGAUUUGUCAGAGGCAAGUGUUCUGUCACUGCAUACCAGAAAAUUCUUGCUACCACAAUAUAUAGAUUAUCAGUGUCUUUUCAGUCACUGAUAUCACAGAUAACCAGAAGUCUUCUUUAAAAAUAAAUACCAGCGAUGGAAGCAGUAUCAAUAACCAAUCAAUAAAUGUAUUGUUAAAAUGCCAAAUACUAGGGUGUUCAUCGUAAGUGGUCCUCUCAUAUAGAAGUAUGAUGUAUCUUUUAUUUCAGCAUAACUAGGUCAUCUUAAAGCGAUUGAAACUGGUAGCAGGUUAGUUAAAAUGUAAAUACUGUCAUUCUGUUUUCCAUGAUAAAGCUCUCUGAUCAUGGUCUUCUUUUAACAUUGUGUGUGUGUAUGUGUGUAUGUGU